rnacentral:rRNA from 1 species
CUCCUACGGGAGGCAGCAGUGGGGAAUUUUGGACGAUGGGCGAAAGCCUGAUCCAGCAAUGCCGCGUGUGUGAAGAAGGCCUUCGGGUUGUAAAGCACUUUUGUCCGGAAAGAAAUGGCUCUGGUUAAUACCUGGGGUCGAUGACGGUACCGGAAGAAUAAGGACCGGCUAACUACGUGCCAGCAGCCGCGGUAAUACGUAGGGUCCAAGCGUUAAUCGGAAUUACUGGGCGUAAAGCGUGCGCAGGCGGUUGUGCAAGACCGAUGUGAAAUCCCCGAGCUUAACUUGGGAAUUGCAUUGGUGACUGCGCGGCUAGAGUGUGUCAGAGGGGGGUAGAAUUCCACGUGUAGCAGUGAAAUGCGUAGAGAUGUGGAGGAAUACCGAUGGCGAAGGCAGCCCCCUGGGAUAACACUGACGCUCAUGCACGAAAGCGUGGGGAGCAAACAGGAUUAGAUACCCUGGUAGUCCACGCCCUAAACGAUGUCAACUAGUUGUUGGGGAUUCAUUUCCUUAGUAACGUAGCUAACGCGUGAAGUUGACCGCCUGG